GAAGGGCUGUAGCUCAGAGGUAGACCAUCUGCCUUGUGUGCAGAAAAUCCUUGUUUCAAUCUCCAGCACCUUCA